rnacentral:rRNA from 1 species
GCCUGUUUUAUCAAAAACAUCGCCUCUUGAACCCCUCUAAGAGGUCAAGCCUGCCCAGUGAUUUUAUUCAACGGCCGCGGUAUUCUAACCGUGCGAAGGUAGCGUAAUCACUUGUUUUCUAAAUAAAGACCAGUAUGAAAGGCAUCACGAGGAUUAAACUGUCUCCUUUUCCUAAUCAGUGAACCUAAUCUCCCCGUGAAGAAGCGGGGAUUAACGUAUAAGACGAGAAGACCCUGUGGAGCUUAAAACAUUAAACACGUGCCCCCCCUCUCACUACCCAGGUAUCUCACCCGUCGCACUCUGAUUGUAUGUUUUCGGUUGGGGUGACCGCGGAGAAAACUCAACCUCCGCAAUGAAAGAGGCCUCCUCUAAGCAGUAAGUUACAACUUUAAGCAUCAAAAAUUGACAUAAUUGACCCAUAAUUUGAUCAAUGAGCCAAGUUACCCCAGGGAUAACAGCACAAUCCACUUCGAGAGCCCCUAUCGACAAGUGGGCUUAUGACCUCGAUGUUGGAUCGGGGUCUCCUAGUGGUGCAGCCGCUACUAAAGGUUCGUUUGUUCAACGAUUAAAACCCCACGUGAUCUGA